ensembl:lncRNA
CAUGAUUGGCGUGUCCAAAGUGUCCGUACUGUAUGAAUGGGUGUGUGAGUGUGUAUCGUAUGAAUGAUAGGCACCCUGUCCAGGGUGUACCCCGCCUUGUGCCCGAUGCUCCCUGGGAUAGUCUCCAGGUUUCCUCGUGACCCUGAAAAGGAUAAAGCGGUAUAGAAGAUGGAUGGACGGACUCCGGUUUCCUCCUCCAGUCCAAAGACAUGCGUCGUAGGCCGAUUGGCAUGUCUUAAGUGUCCGGUGUGUGUGCAGGGUGUCCCCUGCCUCGUGUGCACCCAAGUGUAGGAUAAGCGGUACAGAGAAUGGAUAGUGUUUGAGGACAGUGAACAUACGCUGCGUCACGAAGAAGAGUCUCUAAUAAACAGAACAUUAUAAUGUGAUGAUGAAGAGCACUCAGUAGCUGGCUAACGGCGGUUUAGUGAUGAGCCUAUGAGCUAGUACUUUACAUUAUACCAUGGUAAUGCCAGUGGGCGCUGAACUACACUACCCAUCAGCCCCAGCACGUCACCUGUCACUAAUCACUCUCACCUGUGUCGUCUUAUACUUGUUAGCGCCACUAUUGUGUUACGUUCUAACUUUUCUAUUUCUCACUGUCGAGCUUUUGUUAUUGUCGUGUGUGCCACAGUGUAUAAUCCGUAUGUUGUUGUUGUUUUUUUUUGUCCUUGUAUCCACAGCUCGUGUUCACGCUUCUCGUUUUUCACGGUUUUAAUCGUUUUGUUCGUACUUGAUUUGAACAGCAGUUCUGAAAAUAUAUCAAACCCCAGGUUUAUAUUAAUGCACCUCUUCUAACACGGGGACUCGUACGGUGGACGCUUAAUACGGUAAGUCUUCUGUGAGGAGACGUCUGUGUAAUAUUUACAGACGGAGUCUCCAGUGCCAGCACGCUGUAACGCUUCAGUUUUCUGACAGGAUGUUAGCCUUUUAUCAUGGGAGGGAACAACCCUUUUUUUGAAUUUUUUUUAUAGCUGCUAUAACAUAAGUGAUAUCAGGAAGUAAACUGUCGCAGACAUUCCACAACAUAAUAAACACGCCAUAUAUUAAUUCAUCUUGGAUCCAGAGCCUAGCACUGGAUGUGACUCUAAAUAUAGCUAUAGAUGAAAGAUAACGUACCUAACGUCCUGCUUUAUUUCAUCACACAAUCAUGUAAAUGUUACAGCUGUGAAUCCACUUGCCACUUGUUUGCACUGCAUUAUGGGUGACACAGACACUACCGCCAUGUUUAUUCGCGAAAUAAACGAAUCUACGGCUCUUACAACGGAUUCCGCGUGUCGACGUUUGGGAGGUUUUCUUAAAAUGGCCGACGUUCUUAAAAUGGCCGACGUGAAUUCUAGCAUCUGGGAUGGAAUACAUUUCCUAUCCGG